GACGAACGCUGGCGGCGUGCUUAACACAUGCAAGUCGAACGAAGAGCGAUGGAAGCUUGCUUCUAUCAAUCUUAGUGGCGAACGGGUGAGUAACGCGUAAUCAACCUGCCCUUCAGAGGGGGACAACAGUUGGAAACGACUGCUAAUACCUCAUACGAUCUAAUCUCGGCAUCGAGGAUAGAUGAACGGUGGCCUCUACAUGUAAGCUAUCACUUAAGGAGGGGAUUGCGUCUGAUUAGCUAGUUGGAGGGGUAAAGGCCCACCAAGGCGAUGAUCAGUAGCCGGCCUGAGAGGAUGAGCGGCCACAUUGGGAAUGAGACACGGCCCAGACUCCUACGGGAGGCAGCAGUGGGGAAUCUUCCGCGAUGGACGAAAGUCUGACGGAGAAACGCCGCGUGAGUGAUGACGGCCUUCGGGUUGUAAAGCUCUGUUAAUCGGGACGAAAGGCCUUCUUGCGAAUAGUGAGAAGGAUUGACGGUACCGGAAUAGAAAGCAACGGCUAACUACGUG
rnacentral:rRNA from 1 species